AUGAACGCUGGCGGCGUGCCUAAUACAUGCCAGUCGAACGCUUCACUUCGGUGAAGAGUGGCGACCGGGUGAGUAAUACAUAAGUAACCUGGCAUCUACAGGGGGAUAACUGAUGGAAACGUCAGCUAAGACCGCAUAGGUGUAGAGAUCGCAUGAACUCUAUAUGAAAAGUGCUACGGGACUGGUAGAUGAUGGACUUAUGGCGCAUUAGCUUGUUGGUAGGGUAACGGCCUACCAAGGCGACGAUGCGUAGCCGACCUGAGAGGGUGACCGGCCACACUGGGACUGAGACACGGCCCAGACUCCUACGGGAGGCAGCAGUAGGGAAUUUUCGGCAAUGGGGGAAACCCUGACCGAGCAACGCCGCGUGAAGGAAGAAGUAAUUCGUUAUGUAAACUUCUGUCAUAGAGGAAGAACGGUGGAUAUAGGGAAUGAUAUCCAAGUGACGGUACUCUAUAAGAAAGCCACGGCUAACUACGUG
rnacentral:rRNA from 1 species